GACGAACCGGACGAACGUUAUUCGGAAUCACUGGGCUUAAAGGGUGCGUAGGCGGCGCGACAAGUUGGGUGUGAAAUCCCUCGGCUCAACCGAGGAACUGCGCCCAAAACUGUCGUGCUCGAGGGAGACAGAGGUGAGCGGAACUUAGGGUGGAGCGGUGAAAUGCGUUGAUAUCCUAAGGAACACCGGUGGCGAAGGCGGGUCUCUGGGCAGUAACUGACGCUGAGGAGCGAAAGCGUGGGGAGCAAACAGG
rnacentral:rRNA from 1 species